rnacentral:rRNA from 1 species
GGUUAAGCGACUAAGCGUACACGGUGGAUGCCCUGGCAGUCAGAGGCGAUGAAGGACGUGCUAAUCUGCGAUAAGCGUCGGUAAGGUGAUAUGAACCGUUAUAACCGGCGAUUUCCGAAUGGGGAAACCCAGUGUGUUUCGACACACUAUCAUUAACUGAAUCCAUAGGUUAAUGAGGCGAACCGGGGGAACUGAAACAUCUAAGUACCCCGAGGAAAAGAAAUCAACCGAGAUUCCCCCAGUAGCGGCGAGCGAACGGGGAGCAGCCCAGAGCCUGAAUCAGUGUGUGUGUUAGUGGAAGCGUCUGGAAAGGCGCGCGAUACAGGGUGACAGCCCCGUACACAAAAAUGCACAUGCUGUGAGCUCGAUGAGUAGGGCGGGACACGUGGUAUCCUGUCUGAAUAUGGGGGGACCAUCCUCCAAGGCUAAAUACUCCUGACUGACCGAUAGUGAACCAGUACCGUGAGGGAAAGGCGAAAAGAACCCCGGCGAGGGGAGUGAAAAAGAACCUGAAACCGUGUACGUACAAGCAGUGGGAGCACAGAGCAAUCUGUGUGACUGCGUACCUUUUGUAUAAUGGGUCAGCGACUUAUAUUCUGUAGCAAGGUUAACCGAAUAGGGGAGCCGAAGGGAAACCGAGUCUUAACUGGGCGUUAAGUUGCAGGGUAUAGACCCGAAACCCGGUGAUCUAGCCAUGGGCAGGUUGAAGGUUGGGUAACACUAACUGGAGGACCGAACCGACUAAUGUUGAAAAAUUAGCGGAUGACUUGUGGCUGGGGGUGAAAGGCCAAUCAAACCGGGAGAUAGCUGGUUCUCCCCGAAAGCUAUUUAGGUAGCGCCUCGUGAAUUCAUCUCCGGGGGUAGAGCACUGUUUCGGCAAGGGGGUCAUCCCGACUUACCAACCCGAUGCAAACUACGAAUACCGGAGAAUGUUAUCACGGGAGACACACGGCGGGUGCUAACGUCCGUCGUGAAGAGGGAAACAACCCAGACCGCCAGCUAAGGUCCCAAAGUCAUGGUUAAGUGGGAAACGAUGUGGGAAGGCCCAGACAGCCAGGAUGUUGGCUUAGAAGCAGCCAUCAUUUAAAGAAAGCGUAAUAGCUCACUGGUCGAGUCGGCCUGCGCGGAAGAUGUAACGGGGCUAAACCAUGCACCGAAGCUGCGGCAGCGACGCUUAUGCGUUGUUGGGUAGGGGAGCGUUCUGUAAGCCUGUGAAGGUGUGCUGUGAGGCAUGCUGGAGGUAUCAGAAGUGCGAAUGCUGACAUAAGUAACGAUAAAGCGGGUGAAAAGCCCGCUCGCCGGAAGACCAAGGGUUCCUGUCCAACGUUAAUCGGGGCAGGGUGAGUCGACCCCUAAGGCGAGGCCGAAAGGCGUAGUCGAUGGGAAACAGGUUAAUAUUCCUGUACUUGGUGUUACUGCGAAGGGGGGACGGAGAAGGCUAUGUUGGCCGGGCGACGGUUGUCCCGGUUUAAGCGUGUAGGCUGGUUUUCCAGGCAAAUCCGGAAAAUCAAGGCUGAGGCGUGAUGACGAGGCACUACGGUGCUGAAGCAACAAAUGCCCUGCUUCCAGGAAAAGCCUCUAAGCAUCAGGUAACAUCAAAUCGUACCCCAAACCGACACAGGUGGUCAGGUAGAGAAUACCAAGGCGCUUGAGAGAACUCGGGUGAAGGAACUAGGCAAAAUGGUGCCGUAACUUCGGGAGAAGGCACGCUGAUAUGUAGGUGAAGUCCCUCGCGGAUGGAGCUGAAAUCAGUCGAAGAUACCAGCUGGCUGCAACUGUUUAUUAAAAACACAGCACUGUGCAAACACGAAAGUGGACGUAUACGGUGUGACGCCUGCCCGGUGCCGGAAGGUUAAUUGAUGGGGUUAGCGCAAGCGAAGCUCUUGAUCGAAGCCCCGGUAAACGGCGGCCGUAACUAUAACGGUCCUAAGGUAGCGAAAUUCCUUGUCGGGUAAGUUCCGACCUGCACGAAUGGCGUAAUGAUGGCCAGGCUGUCUCCACCCGAGACUCAGUGAAAUUGAACUCGCUGUGAAGAUGCAGUGUACCCGCGGCAAGACGGAAAGACCCCGUGAACCUUUACUAUAGCUUGACACUGAACAUUGAGCCUUGAUGUGUAGGAUAGGUGGGAGGCUUUGAAGUGUGGACGCCAGUCUGCAUGGAGCCGACCUUGAAAUACCACCCUUUAAUGUUUGAUGUUCUAACGUUGACCCGUGAUCCGGGUUGCGGACAGUGUCUGGUGGGUAGUUUGACUGGGGCGGUCUCCUCCUAAAGAGUAACGGAGGAGCACGAAGGUUGGCUAAUCCUGGUCGGACAUCAGGAGGUUAGUGCAAUGGCAUAAGCCAGCUUGACUGCGAGCGUGACGGCGCGAGCAGGUGCGAAAGCAGGUCAUAGUGAUCCGGUGGUUCUGAAUGGAAGGGCCAUCGCUCAACGGAUAAAAGGUACUCCGGGGAUAACAGGCUGAUACCGCCCAAGAGUUCAUAUCGACGGCGGUGUUUGGCACCUCGAUGUCGGCUCAUCACAUCCUGGGGCUGAAGUAGGUCCCAAGGGUAUGGCUGUUCGCCAUUUAAAGUGGUACGCGAGCUGGGUUUAGAACGUCGUGAGACAGUUCGGUCCCUAUCUGCCGUGGGCGCUGGAGAAUUGAGGGGGGCUGCUCCUAGUACGAGAGGACCGGAGUGGACGCAUCACUGGUGUUCGGGUUGUCAUGCCAAUGGCACUGCCCGGUAGCUAAAUGCGGAAGAGAUAAGUGCUGAAAGCAUCUAAGCACGAAACUUGCCCCGAGAUGAGUUCUCCCUGACUCCUUGAGAGUCCUGAAGGAACGUUGAAGACGACGACGUUGAUAGGCCGGGUGUGUAAGCGCAGCGAUGCGUUGAGCUAACCGGUACUAAUGAACCGUGAGGCUUAACCUU